rnacentral:rRNA from 1 species
AGCCGCGGUAAACGUAGGGGACAAGCGUUAUCCGGAUUCACUGGGCGUAAAGAGCGUUGAGGCGGUUCCGUAAGUUGGGCGUGAAAGCUCCGGGCUUAACUCGGAGAUGUCGUUCAAUACUGCGGGGCUUGAGGACAGCAGAGGAAGGUGGAAUUCCCGGUGUAGUGGUGAAAUGCGUAGAUAUCGGGAGGAACACCCGUGGCGAAGGCGGCCUUCUGGGCUGUUCCUGACGCUGAAGGCGAAAGCUAGGGGAGCGAACGGGAUUAGAUACCCCGGUAGUCCUAGCUGUAAACGAUGGAUGCUGGGUGUGGGGGGUGUAAAUUCCCUCUGUGCCGAAGCAAACGCGUUAAGCAUCCCGCCUGGGGACUACGGCCGCAAGGCUAAAACUCAAACGAAUUGACGGGGGCCCGCACAAGCAGCGGAGCGUGUGGUUUAAUUCGAUGCUACACGAAGAACCUUACCUGGGUUUGACAUGCACGUGGUAGGGAACCGAAAGGGGACCGACCUUCGGGAGCGCGCACAGGUGCUGCAUGGCUGUCGUCAGCUCGUGCCGUGAGGUGUCGGGUUAAGUCCCGUAACGAGCGCAACCCUUGCCCUUAGUUACAAGUGUCUAAGGGGACUGCCCGGGACAACUGGGAGGAAGGUGGGGAUGACGUCAAGUCAGCAUGGCCUUUAUAUCCAGGGCUACACACGCUACAACGGCCGGUACAAUAGGUUGCGAAGUCGUGAGGCGGAGCCAAUCCU